rnacentral:rRNA from 1 species
AACAAACGCUGGCGGCGUGCCUAACACAUGCAAGUCGUACGAGAAAGGGUCCUUCGGGAUCUGAGUAAAGUGGCGCACGGGUGAGUAACGCGUGGAUAAUCUACCCUUCAGUUGGGAACAACUCAUCGAAAGGUGGGCUAAUACCGAAUAACACUGCAAGACUUUGGUCGAGCAGUCAAAGAGAGCCUCUGCUUGCAAGCACUCGCUGAAGGAUGAGUCCGCGUACCAUUAGCUUGUUGGCAGGGUAAUGGCCUACCAAGGCGACGAUGGUUAGCUGGUCUGAGAGGAUGAUCAGCCACACUGGAACUGAGAUACGGUCCAGACUCCUACGGGAGGCAGCAGUGAGGAAUCUUGCGCAAUGGGGGAAACCCUGACGCAGCAACGCCGCGUGAGUGAGGAAGGCCUUCGGGUCGUAAAGCUCUGUCAGUUGGAAAGAAAUGCUUGGAAGUUAAUACCUUUCAGGCUUGACGGUACCAACAAAGGAAGCACCGGCUAACUCCGUGCCAGCCGCCGCGGUAAGAC